rnacentral:rRNA from 1 species
AUUGAACGCUGGCGGCAGGCUUAACACAUGCAAGUCGAGCGGGGGAAGGUAGCUUGCUACCGGACCUAGCGGCGGACGGGUGAGUAAUGCUUAGGAAUCUGCCUAUUAGUGGGGGACAACAUCUCGAAAGGGAUGCUAAUACCGCAUAAGUCUUACGGGAGAAAGCAGGGGAUCUUCGGACCUUGCGCUAAUAGAUGAGCCUAAGUCGGGUUAGCUAGUUGGUGGGGUAAAGGCCUACCAAGGCGACGAUCUGUAGCGGGUCUGAGAGGGUGAUCCGCCACACUGGGACUGAGACACGGCCCAGACUCCUACGGGAGGCAGCAGUGGGGAAUAUUGGACAAUGGGGGGAACCCUGAUCCAGCCAUGCCGCGUGUGUGAAGAAGGCCUUAUGGUUGUAAAGCACUUUAAGCGAGGAGGAGGCUACUCUAGUUAAUACCUAGGGAUAGUGGACGUUACUCGCAGAAUAAGCACCGGCUAACUCUGUGCCAGCAGCCGCAGUAA